GCAACAUUACUGGUCUUAGCACAAUCCCAUGGGGAGCUCUGGGGUAUAAAUUACUUCUCAGAGUUUGUGGAAACUUGAGUGUCCUUGCGAAGGAGCUGGAGAGCAUGAUUAUCUCCAUUCCACAAAUAAGAAAAAUGGAGCUGCUGAGGGGAUGAAGACCAGAGUGACCUUGGAAACCACACAUUUUUUUUACUGCAGGCCAGCUAUCAGCCUGGAUCCCUGAAGGAUCAUGCAGACAGAUUUGCCUACAAAUCUGAACCAUCAUUCAGACUGUUAUAAGAGAUAGAAAUAAAUGUCUUAAAAUGUCA